CUGAAACAUGCCCGGGGUGCAGAAGCAGAGAGGAAGCGAGAUUAUUUAAUGAAGUAGGCUAACAGUGAUGGGGAGAAAGGGGGCUGAUUUUUGCAUCUCAGAACUGUUGAGCCUACAAAUAUUACUGAAAUCACAUUUGGGAACAAAGCUCUGCUUUAAGCAAGUUCAUCCAUGAGUGUUGCUAAGCAAUGUAGAGAAGGCAAGAGAGAGGGAGAGUGCCUGACUUUAGGAUUAUAAAAGGAUAGAGAGGAGAAAAGACACCAUGGUUCCUACAUAGUCUUAUUUAUAGUGAACAUUAAAAUUCUGUGUUUUCCUUGCCUGUCUUCCAAACCGUUCAUGCCUCAAUUAAUCAGAUCUGGUUCAGUAUUUGUACCAACACUUAUCCAGCUCGCGAAGGGUUGUGCUGCAUCCUGGAGCACCAGCAGUUACGCACCAGAACUGUCAACAUCUGUCUUCAGAUUAAACAGAAAGGAAGGGGAGAAGAAAUCUUUCCUAUCAGCAGCAGCAGGGGUUGCUGCAGGAAGAUGAUAAUUUCCUCCCGCUAUGCUGCUGACAACUGCCGAGCUGCACAGGAGGAGCAAAGCAUUUCAAUCACGGAAUUGAAAAACACAGCAGUUCCUAAAGCUUCAUCUCACCUUGGUUGAUUUACAUAAAUUUAGAUUGAACUGUUUCACUGUCAAAUUAUGUUAUAUAUGGAAGAUAAGAGAGGAGGAAGAAUUAGCGUAAUUUCUAGUUUGUGUAUAGGAGGCAGGGUGUCUGCAUGUAUAAACACUUCUGAGCAUCCUGGAUACACAGAUGCCGCUGAAUUCCUUAAAAGCACCAUGCAGACCUGCAGGCUCCCUGACUCUACACUGUAUGCUUUAGGAACUCCAUAGUACUCCAAAAUACAUCUUUCAAAAAAUAGAAGAUAAGUAUCUUAUUAAUAACCAGCCAGUCCAGGUUCAAUCCAGUGUCCACUGAAGUCAUCAGAAAACCUGUGACAGAGGCCUAGGGGUUUGAGUUUUGGCUCCGGCUCUUUCAUCAGACUGUCAUUAUAACAAAGGAACCCCAUAAUAGCCUGCUAAGAUAAAUGCAAAUCUUGCAUCCGAGAGAAUCAGGCAUCCCCCGAAUUAAAAAUUUGAGCACACAGCAGCUUAUAGGCAGCAGCUCUGGGCAUGUGGCACAACAUCUGUUACAAAAACACUAGAAAGCAGACCUGCGGCAAACUGGACCUCUGCCAGCUCUCAAGAUUUCCCCCCCCGACAAGGCUGUCAGUAAAUGGACAGAUGGCAGCCAACGCACUCUAGGAGAGCUGGUUCAGUUAACAAUCAAGUAUGCUAAAUGAUUUCAAAUUCACUCCGCAUCCGGCAUUGCAUUUUAUGUUGAAUCAUUAACACUAUGCCCUAAUAGAAAUAUAGUUUCGUAGUAAAAAAACUAAAUUGUGCAUUCUGCAUCUUACAAGAGAGUUUCUCUGGAACAAUUUGUUAUGAAACAUUAUAACCGCCUUCCUUAAUGAAGUCAAAAUUUGCCAAGUUUACCAGGCUGGUUUGAACAUAAUCUUAAGUUCUGCGGUAUUGAAAGAAUGUGGAUGGAAACAAAUAUUAAGAUGCACGUCAGUUGAUAGCACAAGUUGUUCCCACACAUGCGCCCAGCUGAAAGAGCAGAGUAGACGUUAACCGUGCACAGCAUAUGGGAUACUGCAUCGUGGUGGCUUGUCUGCAUUACCGCUGUACAUCCCCUGGGAAAGCAGCUCUCACAAGCAGCAGUGUAGGUGACGUGGUUGUCACCCAAGAACAGUGAUGAGAAGAUUCAUCCCUGGAAAAUUAGUAUUUCUUGGCUUUUGUGGGUAAAAUUCAUAAACAGUUUGGACAUUAUACCUCCAGGGGGCAAAUAAUUGAACAUUGAGCACUAGCAAAGAGCAUGGAGAACUUUAGGCAUUAUGAAAAAUACUUUUUAAUUCUUCCUCUUUAAAAUCAUGUCUUUAACAGCAUGUUUUGUAGGUGUAAUGACACUGUACCCAAUUGUUUUGCUUUUCCAUUAAGUAGAAGGGCAAGAAUGCUUUUUUUUUUCCCCCUCCAAAGAUGAGGACUGAAUAAAACUGAAAAAUGCAAAGCUUUUCUAAUUGGCAAUCAACAAAUUAGUGAUUUACACAGGCCUACUGGAGAACUGCAGGUUAUCUGAUGUGCUUUAGUGAUAUUAAGUGGUGCUGUGAAAGACUUGCCCUUCGGAUUCACCCAAGAACUCUCCAAAAGCAUAGAUCCUAUACUACUUCAAGUACUGAGCCAAGAACGGCUGAGCUGUGCUACAGGAGGAUGAUCUGAAAACCUCUCACAAAGCCAUGAACCUGCGUAUGGUCAGUCAAUCAACAUUACAUGGAUCUCCUGCUAACUUUCCUUUCUGCUUAUGCCAUUGGUUUUCUGUAGAGGUAUGUAGAUGGCAUCACCACAGUUAUAACUGGAAAAUCAGCAGUAGCAGACGAGCUCAUCUGCCCUGUUCUUCUAAUUCAGACUGGGAAACGUGGUACAAGAAUUUCAGAAAAGGAACAAGAACUCCACAAUUUGGCUGAGCUCCUUCACAGUCCACUCUGUGUGGCUUGUCUUUCUCUUUGAAAAGAGACUGAAUAUUUUGACUAACAGCCCAUGAUCACUAAAGCAGAGAAAUCAGAGAUACAAUUUUUAAGAAGUGCAAUGCUAUCAAAAAUACAGAAGCAUCUUCAUCUUCAGGCUCAACUUUUUGAAAAUCUGAUGAAAUUUAGUGAAAUUUACUCAGUGAAAUUUAGUCUUUCCCUUACUUCUUUAAAAUAAAUCUUCCGAGGGCAUAAAUUAUCAAGAGAGGAGACACCAACCGGCUCUGUGAGAACAGCUGAAAAAUAGUUGUCUUUUCUUGGUACUAAUCAUCUGGUAAGUCUGCAAAUGAAGCUAUUCAAAAAAUGAAUUACAGAAAAGCUGCAUGUCACUAUUUUCAACAGUCAAAGAUAUGCUUUAUCAGAUAUAAAAUCACAAAAGAAUAUGAAAAAGGCAGGACAAAUUAGCUACAACAUAAUUAGGAAUGCCAGACAUUCAUAAUAUUCAUUCAUAAUGCUAGACGGUCAUAAAGACAGAAAAUUUGGCUCCCAGUGGAAACUUCUCAUUUUUCUUCUACAUUCCUACUACAGACUUUCAUCAACAACAAACCUAUCAGAUACAUAUUUUUAUAAGCACUUCCACAGAACAAUUAUGCUUCAAAACCACUCAUUAGGCUGGAAUUGGCAAAACCCAAUUUCUAGUCUGGCUUUUCAGCCACAGGUCCACACUUCCCUUUUCUGUCUCCUGCCAAUCUGUCCUACAUCGUCUCAUGAGAGAAACUGAGAGAAUUCUCUGGAAAAAAAAUGUUUUGAGGAAAGCCAUUUAUGGACAGUAAUGCACAGUAUCAUUAGCCCCAAACGAGGCAACUGCAGAAUGCUGCUCCCUGGGUGUGAUUAGCUAUUCAUAGAUCAACAGAAAGCUUUCACUGGCAAGGAGGGGAAGGGCUGUUGGUGGGUUUUUAUUCCCAUCUGUCAGCUCAGCAGCACCAAUGGUGCUGAAUGAAGUCUUUCUGCUCAUUCAACAUCUGUGGUCUAAUACUUGCCAAGGGUUUGAUCUUGACCUCUCAGUUUGUUCCUACAGUACCCAGGAUUCCCAGGUGGCCUCUCAGCCAAAAGUUAACCUAGUCUAGGACUGCUAAGCUUGCAGAAUCAGUCUGCACUAGACCAUGUUUUGUUGAGGCAGUGUUGACUAGCAAAACCCGCAACAUUGACAUCUCUUAGAUUCUCUAAAUACUCUAUUAUGCAGUCCACUAAGAUUAGGUCUUGCAGCUCUGGGGAAAGCGAGCAAGCAAUUAUUAUCAAAACACAGCAAUUUGAUAAAUUAAAAAAGGAAAUCAAAGAUAAGCAGGUGGUAAAAUUGGUAGCAGGAAGUUUGCGUUUUUCUGUAGUUAUCUAGAACACCAGCCACCCUAGACCAAAUUUUUCACCUUAUAUCAUCUUGGACAAUGUGACAGAUUAGCAAACGUCACAAGGGAAAUAUAAUUUUAUGGUCAAUCUAAGUUAUAGAUAUCCACAUCUAAAAUAGUUGUGGAGAAUGUUAUAUAGAUUAUAUAUGAGUUCAACUUAAUUUUUAUACAUGUCUUUUCCCCUAUCUCAUCAUUUCCUUUAGCAUCUUCCACUCACUGUUUCCACAACUCAUAUUUGUGCAACAAAAACAUGGUUAUGUUGCACAUGGUUAUGUAGGGGAACGCCUGGGGAAUAAGGUAGACUGAUAAAAAUCUUUGUUUUAAUCAUGCAAUUAAAAACUCAAUAUUCAUGUUGCAAUAAUAAUACUUACAAAACAUUACCUAUGCAGAAAGCUACAGAGGUAGAAUCAAUCUGACAGCCUUAAUCUUCUCGCCCAGGCAGGUAAGAGGUUGUGUCCUAUUCAAGAUUACUUAGAAAGAACACGUGUUCCUUGUGAAUGAUGUCAUUCGUGUCUAGUAAUAUACAAAUUAAUUCAUGCCAGCACUGGCGAUGUUGGGUUAUUUAUUUCUUUAGUUACUAGGUGUACUAAUUUUUGGCUGAGAUUUUGGCUGAAGAUUACCUAUGGUUUUUACAGCCUCUGUGGAGAAAGGUGAUAUGCCUUUUUUUUUUUUUUUUUUUUCCCUGAAGCACUACACAAUAUGGAAGCUUUUAUUUAAGAAACAAGAAAAAAAAAACACUCAACUUUCCUAGUAACACUAUGUAACUAACUGGGCUAAGUGAAGUCAUAUGUUAUGAAUAGAUUUUAUUCUGUUAGGGCACCUAUAACAUUAACACAGAGCGGUUAUCACAAAGGCCCAAUAAUAGCUACCUGUUCUGAUCUUCUUGCCUUGAGGAAAUGGUACUGUCUCCAAUACCAAAAACAAAAUAACAUCAUAUUAAACAUGCAAAAUCCAAGAAGGUUUCAGCUUUGAGUACCCUUUGAUCUUUCAUAACAGAAGGAAGUGUAAACUAAGAUCAAGUUUAUUAAGUACAGAUCAAAGUGCAGUCAAGUUCCUUCCUUUCCAACAGCGGUUAAAGAUUGGAGUUAAAUUUCUUAUAGAAAAAAUUAUAUUUACAAGUUAUUUCUGCAAUAUAAGGUUCUAACUUGAAAAUCCAACUGCUGGACACUGCAAUCCGUAUUUCUAGCUCUAACUUUCAAAUUGAUAAAUUGUUCUUUGUUCCCAACAUUAGGAUGUAUGUCAAUUGAGAGCACAGACUUGUAGCACUCUUACUGAGAGUGAACAGCGUUGUUGCUGUAAUAUGACAAAACUUAGAAGUCUGAGCAUUAUUUUAAAGUUUCUUUUAUCCACAUUAGAUAUCCUUGCCACCAAUUCAGCUUUUACUGCAUUUUAAUAGCAAGAUAUUGGUGGUACAGGUUAGCUGAAAACUCACUGACUAUUAAAAAAAAAAAAAAAAACAAACCUUGAAAGCACCUUGAUAACUGCCUUCUGUUCCUAGCACCAUGUGCAUUCAUAACUUAAGUGCACUGCACAAUAAACAACUAUCGUGCACUUGGAUUUCACUUUUAGAAGCUAUUUUCUCACUUUUUAUACUUCAAAGAUUGUAAUUCUUUACAACAGUGGCAGCUUGAAAUGCAUUACAAUGCCUAAUUCUUUUGAGGCUUAGUUGUAGAAUGCUCUUAACAUGGCCUUUAAAAUAAAACAAUUUAAGUACCAUAAAAACCUUACAGCUACUUCCACAAUUAAAUUCCUUCACUGAAAAGCAGUACCUUGUAAUUUUGCAAGUCAAAGUAGCAGCUGUAUAAGCUAAAGCACAACUCAGCGGAAGCAGAUGCCAUUUACCAUCAAGACUUUUUUUCAGAAUAGAAGCCAAUAUGACACCAAGGUAUCUGCGAAUGACAUGCUCUUGUGUACUUGUAUGAAUACAAGACUUGAAAGAGGACAAGUAUUUUCAUUACUGCUUGGAUCAUUCUCACAGCAGUCGGCAGGAGUUUUGUCCUACUCUUCCUACUGAUAACAGUAGCAUAGGAUUUGCUUCUUUCAAGGCAUCACCACCUUCGGUUUCCACUAAACUUAGUUAGCUCACCUAAAACUUAGUGUGCACCAGACUACUUGAAAAAACAGUUGAGAGGCACAAGUGAUAACAGCUAAAAUUCAAGCCAUCUUUAUUAAAACUAACAUAGCAGAUUUUUUACUCCCUUUCCUGCCCUUCCCUAAGACCCUCUGCUACAUUCCACUACAAGCCCCACAUAUCAAUGGCUGGGCUGUGUCCAGGGCUGAUUUCAAAACCACUAGACAGAAUGGCAUCUAUCCAUAUACAUGUCCAGCUAUCAUUACCAUGCUAUAUUCAGCUCCCUUCUGAGAUUAUUUUCCAAGCACAUUUCAAUUUAAAAAGGCUUGUUGUUUUUUUUUAAACAACAACAACAAAAAGCUUUUUCAACAAGAAAACUCCUCAAAACUGCAGCCAAUACAGAUAUAUUUCCCUACAUUCCCAAAUCAGUUAUGUUGCUGCCGUUUUGUAAAGGUAGAUGACACUGGCACUUCAGAAAUGGCUGCAGUUCCCCAAGUGAUGACAGAAUUUUGCAUCCCCGCCCUAUUCCCACUGAGUGCCAGAAUCCUUUCCAAUGCCUGCAGCAAUGCUUUGAAGUAGGUGCAAUUGCAGCAAAUGCAAAAGAUUAAAGGAUUCUGGAGUUCAUGGAGAGAGGUGCAGAGCUCACUAUCACCAACGAGAUUCAUCUAAACAUUUUAAUUUUUUAUUUAAAGAAUUUCAUCAUGAGAAGAGUUACACCAUAAUACCUUUCCGCAGGAUAUAUUUUACAUAACUAUGUUGCCUGUGACUUAAUUCUUAGAUGCAUAUAAAUGGGCAUAUGUCUCAGCCUUUCACCAUCAUUCCUGGGAGAUAGUACAGGGUCUCACCCACAGACAACAGCAUACCAAGAACUGAAAGGAUGAAAUAUGUUGAAAAGAGAUAGCAAUAUUACUGCCUUUUCUUUUUUUAAGCGCCUCUCAUGUUUUUGAAGAAACUACCCUCUCCUGCAGGGGAAGUAAUAUUUUUGACAGGUUUUCCUUUUUAUUAAACAUUUCACUUAUUCAAUAUUCUGUUGGCUUAGAAAUUACGAGUUGGGACUUUCAAAAAGCAACUGAUGACAUAUGAGCACCAAUAUGUCCCUCCAAAGGUGGCCUACAAAGUGCUAUUCCUUUCAAAAUAAGAAUCUUUAUUUUUCAUUUCUCUUUCAAGUUUCUAACCAAGACAAAAUUGAGAACUCACCCUAGUGCUAGUUUCCACAUCACUAAUUAUUUCCAAAUCUCCUGGCACACGUACUGUUAGCAAGAUUUCAUGCAUGCAUGGUAUCAGGACACAUUCACAUCUGCUUUGAAAUGGCCUAGCAUAAUGCAGUCUUCCCAACCGAUUUCCUUCUAAUUUAUAUUAAUAUGAAAGAGACAACUCCCUGUUGCAGUUUUAUCUCUCUCGCUGUUUAGAUGUAGGGAUGCCAGAUGUGGAAUCAGGACCAGUCUUAGAUGAAAGACUUCAAACAGUGCUGAGAAGCAGAAGUUUCUUCUGUUACUUUACUAUCUCUUUGCUCUGUGUCUGUCUGCACAAACCUCACCCCAAAAGCCUUGAGCUCCAACCUCUUCCCUUCCCCUAUGGCACGUCUUGCCAACCCUAAUCAGGACCUCAUUGUCAUAUUCCUUUCUUCCAGGCCUAAUACCUCACAGCCCUAUAGUCCCAGCCCACCACAAAGCCUUUCACCUCCUGCCCAUCUCUGCUCCUUCCUCACCCUCUUUCCUGACUCUGCAGAACCCAACACUGCCUUAGGUGAUGCAGAGCACACGGCUUUGCAAACAGUUGCGGUGUCUUCAGGCAGUAACAUGUUGGAGGUAUCUAUAGUAGCUGAGCUAUCACAACCACAGCAAGCUGCUUCUACAUUUACUGCUGAGCUCCUGAGCAGUCUGCUGGCUCUCAUCUGCAGUUCCCAGGAGUCAGGUGGAAAGGCAGAAGGCUCCCAGCACAGUUCACAUAUUGUGUGGUUGGCCUCAGUGAAGACUAAGAGAUCGUAUUACUGAUGUACUUUCAUUUUAUGCAAAAUUAUCUAGCUGCAUUUAACAAAGGUUGAUCUUGGAUUUUUGCCAAUGAAAGUCCGGUGUUGCUGGGAUGAAGUUGUUUGCAGGUCUUAGUUUCUCCUCCUGAACAAGCCAUGCACAUUUACAUAAGGUGUCUGGUCAUAGAGUUAUUAAGGUUGAAAUAGACCUCUAAGAUCCCCUAAUCCAACCUUUAACUUAACAUUGCCAAGUCCACAAUCAAAUCAAAACACACUUACUGCUCCUCCACCCCAUCCAGAACUGCUGAAACACUUUACAGGUUCAUUACCAGUCUCAGUGUCCAAGUCCAGGAACUCUUUUCCCAUUGAUGUAUUACAAGAGUAAUAUUUUAGAAAAGUAACAAGAAGAGGAAACAAGUAAUAGAGUAUUGGUUGUAUAGUUUGAACACCUAAACUGCUGAAAGGCAAAGAAUACAGCAAAUCUAGUAAAAAUAUUUGCAAAGAAAAAGUUUAAACCUCUAACAAACAGCACUUGGUGAGUGACAGUACUCUGUGCUUAACAGGGUCAGCACAAGAGCCUUAAGGUUACAGUAAAGUAAAACGACAAGAAAGUCUCCAAAACCAGGACACGGUUUGUACACAUCUUUUCACAUCUGAAGAAGCAUGUGCACGAAUACUAAUUAUAAGGAUACUAAUGAAAAUAUUAGCCUGUAACACAACAUUGGCUGGGUACCACCCAAAAUGGAAAAGCACAACAAAAUUAAGAAUUUAAAAAAAACAGUGGUGGUGACAGCAAAAUUUAGCUUCUUUCUGUUUUAUCUUAUAUUUUCCAAAGAGGGAUUUUGAGGUUUUAAAGUUAUUUAACAGUUUUAAACUUCACUUUUGUGUAGAGAGUUCUGGGUAUUUUCAAGAGGGUUGGCAUCAAGGAGCUUGUUCGGUUUGUCCUCUUGUGUAGCUGGAUGGCCCCUUGCUCUCCCCCGCUCCUCCAGCACAUUCAUACUAGGGUAGAACACAGCCUGAGAUCCUCACGUAUUCCCUAGCCUUUAGAGCUAAAUUCCUCUUUUAUUUUAAGCAAGCAAACAAACAAACAAAAAAAACCAACUAGUACCAUAGUGCCUAUGAACCCCAAAGAUUGAACAGCUAGCACUCUGUUUAAGCUACUCUGCCCCCUUCCCCUUUCUUUUUGGACAAACCUUUAAUAACCCAGAGGUGCAAACAGAUGAAAGUGAUAGAGCCAAAGCCAACAACUCAAAAUACAAAAUAACUCUAUUCCCUGCCUGGUGACUUCUAAGUUUCCUUGGCCAGUCCUCAAAGUUUCUUGCAGAGACCAGAGGCCCUUAUCUGAUGGAAUUCAACAUCAGCAACUUCAAAGUCAUGCUCUGCGGGCGUGAUGGGGAAAUCAAUCCAGCCAUGAUACACAGUGAUUAGAUCAGCUAUUGCCACUCGGAAGAGAAAUCUGCGGACAGUCCUAUAGAAGUGUCAGAUCAGCAUUCAUCAACAAAGCAGAAAUGAAUCAAACAGAAGAGCAACCCUUCAAGGAGCAGGGAAUGAAAGAAAAUAUCACAGUGGCUGUCACCACAAACCUAUGGCACAUGUGUGUUUUGAUUUAUUUUUGACUGUGUUCAGUUCUGCUUCUAAUCCCACGGGAACACUACAGACAAGGAAAUUGUAAAGGAAAAGGGCAGUUAGAGAUACAAAGCAUCAUCCAUGCUGGAAGAACAUGGAACCAAUGUAUUCUUUCAGACUGGAAAAGAUAUGAUUAACAUGAAAAUAAAGUAUCACAACACAGCUCUAGAGUUAAAGUUUCUCCUCUGCCCUAGAACAUUUCUUCAAAUCAACUUGGAGGAUCUGAUUUCAUGGCAGAGAGCCACCGACAGCUCCUCAGUUCACAGUCCCCAGUUGAAAGGCCAUUUCAAGUCACACAUAGCAGGCCAAGUUGUAGAGAGUUUUCCUCAACGCCACCACCUCAGCCAGAGGACAGGACCAAACCAGGUUGAUUCAGUGUUUCUACCAGAUGGCGUGUGCCAAGAGACUCCCACAGAGCGCUGGCUAGAAUUUAAAGCUGCCCUAAAGAUAACAUGCAAUCUGAAAUCGGAGACUGUGCAAAGAUGCCACCUGCUCCCCCUUGCAGUGUAAGCAAGCCUCUGGAAUAGAGCCAGUUCCAGGGGCAUAGAUUACUGCAGCUUGUUCACACUUCUAUGCAUAUGUGAUUGAACAUGUUUUUUCCUAGUGCAGAACUGUUAUUCCAGAAUAACAGUUGGGUGUUGGUGUUGGGUAUUUUCCCACUUUCCCCUAGGUAGGUGCCAUGUUGUCUGGAGAGGAAAAAAGAAAGAAGAGAAAAAUCUAUACCUUCUUAAGAAUUCUUUUUUAAGCAAGUUUAACUCCCUCAUCCUUCAAGUCAAGAUGAACAUAUGCUAUUUUACUCAGACAGUUCAGACAAGACCAAGCUCCCAAAAAAUCCAGAAGGGACAGGAUCAAUGUUUCCCCUAUAGCAGGGCCUGUCUUGCUGGCUCAGAAGGCUUUUCAUUAAAAAAUUUAGUGCAAAAAGCCCCCUUGCCCUUUGAAAUUCAGAAUUAAGAUUUAUUUAUUUAUUGCCAGGAACUGUUCAACAUCUUUCACCAAGUAGUACAUCUGUCUUCCUAAACUUACAGGCUUCUGAUACAAUAAAAUAUGUGUUCUCCCCUCCA